AGCAGCCGCGGUAAUACGUAGGUGGCAAGCGUUAUCCGGAGUUUAUUGGGCGUAAAGAGAGUGCAGGCCGGGUUUUCUAAGUCUGAUGUGAAAGACCUUCGGCGUUAAACCGGAGAAGUGCAUCGGAAACUGGAUAACUUGAGUGCAGAAGAGGGUAGUGGAACUCCAUGUGUAGCGGUGGAAUGCGUAGAUAUAUGGAAGAGCACCAGUGGCGAAGGCGGCUACCUGGUCUGCAACUGACGCUGAGACUCGAAAGCACGGGUAGCGAACAGGAUUAGAUACCCUGGUAG
rnacentral:rRNA from 1 species